GAGGUAGCUCAGUUGGUUAGAGCGUGGUGCUGAUAAUGCCAAGGUUGCAGGUUCGAUCCCUGUCUGGGACA